rnacentral:sRNA from 1 species
UACUGUUCUUGGUUAAUACUGACAAAUAAAAGUAGCCAGAUCUCACUAAAAUUCAGCAUGCUGAACACUGAAUGUUGCUGUGAUUUUGUGACUGUUUAUGAUGGAAACAGUACAUUUGCCCCACAACUUGGAAAGUUCUGCACUUUGCCCUAUAAUAACUUAACUUCAUCAGAAAAUUCCCUUCUGGUCACAUUUUCUACAGAUGGCAGUGUCACAUCCUCAGGUUUCUUUGCUUCUUACCAAAUAUUGAAAAAUUGCUCAAACUUCACCUAUGGUGAGGAAUGUCAACUGAUUUGUAACUGUAUAGAGGAAA